rnacentral:rRNA from 1 species
UACAGAGGGGGCAAGCGUUGUUCGGAAUUACUGGGCGUAAAGGGCGCGUAGGCGGCCUUCUAAGUCAGACGUGAAAUCCCCAGGCUUAACUUGGGAACUGCGUCUGAUACUGGGAGGCUUGAGUGCGGGAGAGGGAUGUGGAAUUCCACGUGUAGCGGUGAAAUGCGUAGAGAUGUGGAGGAACACCGAUGGCGAAGGCAGCCUCCUGGGCCAAUACUGACGCUCAUGCACGAAAGCGUGGGGAGCAAACAGG